rnacentral:snoRNA from 1 species
UUGCUGUGAUGAUACCCUCAACUUGUGGUUUCAACUUGCUGAGAGUUGAAUGAGGACAUUAAAUUCCUUGGCUGUGUCUGAGCAU